CCUACGGGUGGCUGCAGUGGGGAAUAUUGCACAAUGGGCGCAAGCCUGAUGCAGCGACGCCGCGUGAGCGAUGAAGGCCUUCGGGUCGUAAAGCUCUGUCCUAAGGGAAGAAUAAUGACGGUACCUUAGGAGGAAGCCCCGGCUAACUACGUGCCAGCAGCCGCGGUAAUACGUAGGGGGCGAGCGUUAUCCGGAAUCACUGGGCGUAAAGGGUGCGUAGGCGGCCCUGCAAGUCAGGUGUUAAAUCCCUCGGCUCAACCGAGGUCAGCACUUGAAACUGUCGGGUUUGAGGGCAGGAGAGGAGAGCGGAGUUCCUAGUGUAGCGGGGAAAGUCGGAGAUAUUGGCGGGAACGCCAGUGGCGAAGGCGGCUCUCUGGACUGCAACUGACGCGGAGGCACUAAAGCGUGGGGAGCUAACAGAAUUAGAUACCCCAGUAGUG
rnacentral:rRNA from 1 species